rnacentral:lncRNA from 1 species
CUGCGGUGAGCAGAAACGAGAAAUAUAAACAUGCACAGGUUUCUGGCGACAAAAGCCUCCUGGCCUGGUAGCACCUGGGCAUGACCCCCUUUGCCCAGACGACAUUAGUCACUCAUAUGGCUCUUGCGUUUGGUUGGCCAAAGGCGGGGGAUCGUUAAGGCAUCUUGGGUGAUGAGGUGGAAAAGGGAAGCCCCACAUGUGAAAUUCUGAGGCCUGGGACUGAGCCACACCCUCCACAGCUACUUUCACAUUGUCUCUAAGCCUCAGCUCCUUAGAGACGCUGCCCUUUGUGGCCGAAGUCCCCAUCAAUUACUACUUUUGGUGCUGGUAAUUGGCUGGGAUCUGUUAAAUCUUUACAUGUCAUCUAAAACACACUCAUAUUAUCUGGUAGCUAAACACUUAUAUUUCACAGAUGCUAUAAUGUAGCGGGUAAAAAAACAAACCCAAGUAAGACAACUUUGGGCAAGGGAUAAGAUAGAAAAAUAUGGCUAUCAUUUCUAAAGAUAUGCCACUUGACAUUUAUUAUUAUUACAUUAUCCAUUAUAUUUCCCAGUAUUUUUCACCAGAGAAAUUUCCAUGUGAUUAACUUAUUUUUAAAUUUACUAUGAAGUUCCUGAAAGUGUAAACUGCUUCUUUACUUUUUAAUAACAGGAAUCAGCUUGUGUCUCUUUUUUCUUUGGCUGCCAGGAAACUCAGAGCCAAAUCAGAAACUCGCCUAUGGGCACUUUCUUGGCCUUUAGGUUCAGCUUUUUCCUUGUCCACAUUUUCCACUCUGUUUUCCGUGAUUCUGAUUUUCCAUUUGGUAUUGCAUGUCGUUUUACUGAAUGUAUUUUAUUUAUAACCUAUCAUGAAUCCUUUGUGGAACAGAGUUAGAAACAACAUUUAUCAGGCAGUUAAGACAGACCUGAGCCCACUCACAGGUUUCCUGGCUCAUGUGACCUUGGACAUGUUAUUUUCACCCUCAGGUCUCAGUUUCUUCAUCCGUAAAAGGGCCAUUGUAAAUACCGAGUAAGCUAGAACAUGAACUGCCUGGCAUCCAGCAGCCCAGGCCUGCGUGAACCACACCAAAGGGACAUCCUGCACAGGCCACCUCUUUCUGCUUGCUUCUCCUUGUCUUCCUCACCACCCCUCCCAUUUGCUUCUGCCCUCAUCCAGAUUUUCCAGUCUUGGCCUUUGUUCAGCCAACAUUUGUUGUUACUCUAGCCCUGCUGUAAACUCAGUGAAAAUAACAGAUUUGCGACCAACCUGGGUAACACAGUGAGACUUUGUCUCUACAAAAAAUUAAAAAAAAAAUUAGCUAGGUGUGGUGGCAUCCACCUGUGGCCCCACUACGUAGGAGGCUGAGGUGGAAGGAUUGCUUGAGCCUAGAAGGUUGAGGCUACAGUGAGCUGAGAUCACGCCACUGCACUCUAGCUUNNNNNNNNNNNNNNNNNNNNNNNNNNNNNNNNNNNNNNNNNNNUAAAAUAAAAUAAAAUAAAGUAAAACAAAACAAAACAGUCAUUGACCUUGACAUUGCCCAGUUCUCAAGGCUCUUUUAUACUCUUGUGUCUUACAAUCACCAUGUGGGAUAAGUCCUGGGAUCCCCAUUUUACAGAUGCAGAGACUGAGGCUCAGAGAAAGGAAGCAGCUUGCCAGAGCUGGAGCCCAAACCCAGAUCUUCCUGGUUAUCUCAGGGCCUCACCUCCUUUU